rnacentral:rRNA from 1 species
UACAGAGGUCUCAAGCGUUGUUCGGAUUCAUUGGGCGUAAAGGGUGCGUAGGCGGCGUGGUAAGUCGGAUGUGAAAUCUCGGAGCUUAACUCCGAAACUGCAUUCGAUACUGCCGUGCUUUGAGGACUGGAGAGGAGACUGGAAUUUACGGUGUAGCGGUGAAAUGCGUAGAUAUCGUAAGGAAGACCAGUGGCGAAGGCGGGUCUCUGGA